AAACUUGUUUUCCAAUAUAUUGUCUUCUUUGACAUUUGUACUCCUUAUUUUUUAAUUGAGUUGUUUCUUUGGAAAAUAUUGAGUAAUGUACUUAGAUUCUGUAUAAUAUAAGUACAAUCCUUCCUGAUGGCAACAAAUUUUUUCUUACUUAAUAAGAAGUUUGAAACAUACCGCAUCAAUUUGUAUAUCUUCUACUUCCAAAUGUAUGUAUUGAAGAUAUAUUGAUAUUGCCAUUGAAUUAUAGUAAUGUUGAAGCUCACUUAUUUGACUCUCAGAUUGAAAUUCAAAAAGUCAAUUAUCAUACUUCAUAGUAAAGUCAAUUGCUUGACUUAAUGUUUGAGGAUCAUAUAAGUUGAGCAUCAAUUUUUUUUACCUUAUAUAGUAAUCCAUAGAAAAAUUGGCUAAUAAAUGCAGUAUCAUUCUACUUGAUAUCAAUUGUAAAUUGUUGAAAUUGUGAAGCAUGUAAUGUUACAGAAUGAUUGCUUUGUCAUAAAAUAAAAAUAUUAUUGGUUACAAGAUGAGUUGUAUCAUAUUCUUUAUAUAUGGAU
rnacentral:lncRNA from 1 species